UCGUUCCUCACCAGCCGGCUUCUCCACCGCCCCUCAGCCCGCCCCGGUGGCCGUCACCCCCGGGCCGGGGAGCGGAAGCCGGGCGAGGCCGAGGGCUCGCGGGGCUGCAGAGUCACGGACAGCUCCCGACUCCCCGCUCCUAUCGGGGCUCCACUCGGUUCGGGGAACUUCACUUCUCCGAGUACUCCGAGCGCCCCUCCCAGUCCCACACGCACAGCACGUCCCCUACCUUGUCCUGAAUCAACUCAAAACAUUUACCUUCCAUGGUCAUUUUGACUUUGGGGAAGAGCCAGAAGUCACACGGGGCCAGGUCCAGUGAAUGAAAUAGCUAAUUCUCGUACCCACCUUGAGCCUCCGCCCUGCAAGCCUGAAUUGCACCAACAGUUUAUCUGG